AGUGGUUGCCCUGGGGCGAGCUGAUCCUUCUCUUCCUCAGCCUCUCUGCAAUAAUGAAUGCCAGCUCCAACGACUGCGAAGCAUUAAGCCUGGGGUCACAAUGCGUGUGGUAGCGAGAGCUCAGGUCGUCGAAGGUCACUGUCCGCGACCCACCAAUGCACUCUGUCACGUCCUGCCCGGUCAUCUCUAGAUGCACUCCUCCUGGAUGGCUCCCUUCUUGAUCGUGCACAUCAAAAAAUGCUCUGACCUCUGCCAGAAUGGCGUCGAAGGGGCGA
rnacentral:misc_RNA from 1 species